rnacentral:sRNA from 1 species
GCUUCUCCGUCAUCUUCGCAUUAUUGGUUCUUCCUUU